rnacentral:rRNA from 1 species
CCUACGGGUGGCAGCAGUGAGGAAUAUUGGUCAAUGGGCUUACGCCUGAACCAGCCAAGUCGCGUGAGGGAAGACUGCCCUCUGGGUUGUAAACCUCUUUUGUCAGGGAGCAACGCCGGCUUCGUGUAGCCGGACUGAGAGUACCUGACGAAAAAGCAUCGGCUAACUCCGUGCCAGCAGCCGCGGUAAUACGGAGGAUGCGAGGUUUAUCCGGAUUUAUUGGGUUUAAAGGGUGCGUAGGCGGAAUGCCAAGUCAGCGGUAAAAUCGCGGGGCUCAACCUCGCUCCGCAGUUGAAACUGGCGGUCUUGAGUGGGCGAGAAGUAGGCGGAAUGCGUGGUGUAGCGGUGAAAUGCAUAGAUAUCACGAAGAACUCCGAUUGCGAAGGCAGGAGACCGGCGCCCAACUGACGCUGAAGCACGAAAGCGUGGGUAUCGAACAGGAUUAGAUACCCUUGUAGUC